CACGAACAAUGCACAAUGAAAGAGUGGGCAUUGAGAAACAAUUUAUGAUUAUGAAAUGUUCCCCUUCAAACAUGCUCCACAAUACACCAUUCAAAAAGGAUAUUCAAGCGCUGCUUUUGAGGGAAAAGUGUGUCGAAGAGUUGCCACGGUUAUUAAACAACCUUGUGCCCAGUCAGAGAGUUGAGGACAGAGGAAUGGACAAUGCAUCCUCCUUAACACCCAGUGUCACACUAAGACUGAUGCAGGUCUAGUGACACAGGGAGGAUUGUGAAACAGACAGGGGGUGGAUUACUUGUUCAUUUUAAUCAGGCACCGUCUGGCAGUCCAAAGAAGUUGUACUCUGAACCGUCAUAUACUGCCGGAGAUAGGAGGCAGGGGCGAGGAGCCUACCCCUGUGCAGGACGGGACUCAACUGGUGAUGGUGGGGUGGUGGAGCUUGCCG